ACGAGCAGUGCGUUUGAAGCUUUGCACACGUGAACUCGUUUUUGAUAAGACUUAAUAUAAAUUGGCAGCGUAUUCAGUUAUCGCGUAGAAUCAGUUAGGACUUGGCCAUUGCGCCUGCUCAAGUCAACAAGAGCUUGGAGAACCUUAUGUCGGUCGAGCUGGAGAUGGUUAGCCACUCGGAGGAGUCGAUUGAGCGUGGUGCGGCCUCUUCGCCGCCCUGUUCGCCGCCCAGACGCUUUAUCGGCCGCUGCGAGUCGGUCGAGUCGUCCAGCUCGACCGACUCCUGCGGCUCUUCAGGCUCUUCGGCCAGCAGCAGCGCCUCCUCUUCAGGAAGCAGCGUGGACAAGCGUCUGAAUCUGACCUCCGCCCUGCACCGCCUGCUGACCUUCCCGGUCGGCCUGGCUGAGAAGCUGCGGCUGGACGUCCGAUCUUUGGCCGCGGUCGGCUUCUUCUGGAACGGCAGGCAGCUCGAGUGCUUCCGGUGCCACCAGAAGGAGCAGCAAGUGACCCCGUGGCAGGACCUCAAACAACUGCAAAUCCAGCUGAAGCACUACGAGUGCACCCACCCUUCAGAAGACGACAUCCCACCCAGCAGUGCGGCCUGCAGCCUCAACUACGAAGCCCACAGGCUGCUCUCCUUUUAUCAGAACUCUAGCUGGAAGUGCACGUUUGUGCAGCCGAGUGACCUGGCCGAGAACGGCUUUUAUUACACCGGCCGAGACGACAUUUGCAAAUGCCACUUUUGCAAUCUGGAGAUGAAAGAUUGGGAGGCUGGAGACACUCCGGCCGGGGAGCACAAAAGGUGGAACCCCGAGUGCCCCCUGGUCAAGAACAAGCCCAUCGGCAACUUCCGGCUGGGCGCCGAGAUCCGCCGCAAAGUGGCCUCGGACGGCCUCGAGAUCAAGCCGUUCACCAAGGCCGAGAAUGACAUGCGUCGCGCCCUGCCCGACGUUGUGCCCAGGAACAAGGCGCUGCAGCCGCCCCCGACCCACCCUCACAUGAAGACCGAGGAUGCCCGAAUGGUUUCCUUCAAAAAUUGGCCCAACAAGUAUCCGAUGAAGCCGGCAGACUUGGUCGAAGCUGGAUUCUUCUACACUGGAAUGGAUGAUGCUGUUUUGUGUUUCCACUGCGGUGGAGGUUUGAAAGACUGGAAAGCUGGAGAGGAGCCUUGGGUGAUGCACGCCAAGUGGUUCAGCAGUUGCAAGUUCCUGAUGGAGAGCCAGGGCAGGGACUUCAUCUUGUCCGUGCUCAGAGUACACAAAGCCAUCCUCACCUCCAAGCAAUUCAAGGAAGCUAUGAUAACGACUGAAAAGUCGCAGUUGGAGCGAGGAAGUUCUAUGACCAAAGACUCGCAGCAGCAAACAUGCAAGAAUGGCGAGCCAAAUCUGAUUCAUUUCUCCCAUGCUCAAGCUCCUGCAUGUGGGACCUUUUGAAGUUUUGAAGAAUCCGUCAUUCAGAAAAUCGAUGGUGGCGCCACAGCCAUGAGUUCAUGACCUAGUCGACUCAUUCUUCUGCGUCUUCUCUUUCCACCCCCGCGACCUAAGAAAAGGGAGCCAAAUUAGCAGACGGGGAGAAAAGAAGAACCGGAAAAAGAGGGAAAGCGCAAUUUGUCAGCUAAAGAGGAAAAGCAGUUUUAUUUUUCUUGUCUCGGCACUGCACUCGUACUUCUUCCUUAUUGCUGGGAAUGCCACUGGAAUGUGUGUGUUUGUUUCUGGAUUGGAUUUCACUCGCCGCCCCCGGAGACGGCCACCUCCCGCCACUGGGGCAGGGGCGGCGCCGCUGCCGCCGCCUCCAAGGGCUCCUCGGCCAGCUCCUGCUGCUCCCGCUCCGCCUCCUCCUCCUGGCUCUCCUCCGGGAUUGUCUCCGAGUCGGACAAGAGGGACACGGAGCUCAGCAGGGGCUCGUCCUCGGCCUCCCCGCUCGGCCGCAGCACCAGGUAGUUCAGCAGGUCAGACAACGAGAUGACCCCGAUCACUCUGUCCUCGUCGUCCACAAUCACCAACCGAUGGACCUGAAGCAAAAUUGUUUUAAAAUGUGUUAAAAAGAACAAAAAAAAAAUAGGAAAAUUUUAUUUAAAAUGGGCUGUGUUGAAAAAAAUUGCAAACGGGAAGAUGUCAAAGUAAUUAAUUUUAAGCUUUUUUGGGCACUGUGUUAACUCUGUCUUUAGUCAGUGGUGAUUUUAGCAUGUAAGGCCAGAGUUAUUAAACUGUGUUUACACUAAAGAAUGCAUUUAUUUUUAAAUUUGAACUGCAUUGAAUUGACUUAGGAUAAAUAUAAAUUAAUAUGUAUUAAAAAUUUAAUUUUAUUACAAUAAAUAUUUUGAAUUUAUUUGUAAAUAUAAUUUGUAAAUUUAAUUUUAUUGAAUGCUACGGAUAAAAUGUGCGCUCUUUGCUGUAAAACAGAAAUAAAUAAUGGUACAAUAAUAAUGUGAAA